UUAAGUGACUAAGCGUAUACGGUGGAUGCCUUGGCAGUCAGAGGCGAUGAAGGACGUGUUAAUCUGCGAAAAGCUGUGGUGAGCUGAUAAAACGCGUAAUAGCCACAGAUGUCCGAAUGGGGAAACCCACCGCUUCGGCGGUAUCUGUACCUGAAUAUAUAGGGUAUGGAGGCAAACGAGGGGAACUGAAACAUCUAAGUACCCUUAGGAAAAGAAAUCAACCGAGAUUCCCCUAGUAGCGGCGAGCGAACGGGGAUUAGCCCUUAAGCGUAUUGUAAGUAAGUGGAAUGAGUUGGAAAGCUCAGCGAUACAAGGUGAUAGCCCUGUACACGAAAACGAACUUUAAGUGAAAACGAGUAGGUCGGGACACGUGUUAUCUUGACUGAAUAUGGGGGGACCAUCCUCCAAGGCUAAAUACUCCUAACUGACCGAUAGUGAACCAGUACCGUGAGGGAAAGGCGAAAAGAACCCCUGUGAGGGGAGUGAAAUAGAACCUGAAACCGUAUACGUACAAGCAGUGAGAGCAGACUAGUUCUGUGAUUGCGUACCUUUUGUAUAAUGGGUCAGCGACUUAUAUUUAGUAGCAAGGUUAACCGCAUAGGGGAGCCGUAGCGAAAGCGAGUGUUAACUGCGCGUUUAGUUGCUAGGUAUAGACCCGAAACCCGGUGAUCUAGCCAUGGGCAGGUUGAAGGUUGAGUAACAUCAACUGGAGGACCGAACCCACUGACGUUGAAAAGUCAGGGGAUGACCUGUGGCUGGGGGUGAAAGGCCAAUCAAACCGGGAGAUAGCUGGUUCUCCCCGAAAUCUAUUUAGGUAGAGCCUCGGACGAAUUCCAUUGGGGGUAGAGCACUGUUAAGGCUAGGGGGUCAUCCCGACUUACCAACCCUUUGCAAACUCCGAAUACCGAUGAGAACUAUCCGGGAGACACACGGCGGGUGCUAACGUCCGUCGUGGAGAGGGAAACAACCCAGACCGCCAGCUAAGGUCCCAAAAUAUUACUAAGUGGGAAACGAUGUGGGAAGGCUAAGACAGCUAGGAGGUUGGCUUAGAAGCAGCCAUCCUUUAAAGAAAGCGUAAUAGCUCACUAGUCGAGUCGGCCUGCGCGGAAGAUGUAACGGGGCUAAGUAAUAUACCGAAGCUGCGGCAUUGUACUUAGGUACAGUGGGUAGGGGAGCGUUGUGUAAGCUGUUGAAGGUGUACCGGGAGGUAUGCUGGAGGUAUCACAAGUGCGAAUGCUGACAUGAGUAACGAUAAUGGGGGUGAAAAACCCCCACGCCGGAAGACCAAGGUUUCCUGUCCCAUGCUAAUCAGGGCAGGGUAAGUCGGCCCCUAAGGCGAGGCAGAAAUGCGUAGUCGAUGGGAAACGGAUUAAUAUUUCCGUACUUGUAUAUUCAGUGAAGGGGGGACGGAGAAGGCUAAGCAAGCUUGGCGUUGGUAGUCCAAGUGAAAGUGCGUAGGGUUGAUGUUUAGGCAAAUCCGGACAUCUACAUGCCUGAGACACGAGACGAGCCACUAAGGUGGUGAAGUUGUUGAUGCCCUGCUUCCAGGAAAAGCCUCUAAACUUAUGAAUAUAUGAACCGUACCCCAAACCGACACAGGUGGUCAGGUAGAGAAUACUAAGGCGCUUGAGAGAACUCGGGUGAAGGAACUCGGCAAAAUUGUACCGUAACUUCGGGAGAAGGUACGCCCUUGUUUGUGAUGGACUUCGCGUCCUAAGCAGAUGAGGGCCGCAGUGACCAGGUGGCUGGGACUGUUUAUUAAAAACACAGCACUGUGCUAAAUCGAAAGAUGACGUAUACGGUGUGACACCUGCCCGGUGCCGGAAGGUUAAUUGAUGGGGUUAGCGUAAGCGAAGCUCUUGAUCGAAGCCCCGGUAAACGGCGGCCGUAACUAUAACGGUCCUAAGGUAGCGAAAUUCCUUGUCGGGUAAGUUCCGACCUGCACGAAUGGUGUAAC
rnacentral:rRNA from 1 species